GUGGGGAAUAUUGCGCAAUGGGCGAAAGCCUGACGCAGCCAUGCCGCGUGGAUGAUGAAGGUCUUAGGAUUGUAAAAUCCUUUCACCGGUGAAGAUAAUGACUGUAGCCGGAGAAGAAGCCCCGGCUAACUUCGUGCCAGCAGCCGCGGUAAUACGAAGGGGGCUAGCGUUGCUCGGAUUUACUGGGCGUAAAGGGCGCGUAGGCGGACAUUUAAGUCAGGGGUGAAAUCCCGGGGCUCAACCUCGGAACUGCCUUUGAUACUGGGUGUCUUGAGUAUGAGAGAGGUGUGUGGAACUCCGAGUGUAGAGGUGAAAUUCGUAGAUAUUCGGAAGAACACCAGUGGCGAAGGCGACACACUGGCUCAUUACUGACGCUGAGGCGCGAAAGCGUGGGGAGCAAACAGGAUUAGAAACCCUAGUAGUCC
rnacentral:rRNA from 1 species